AAAGAUAAAAAUCUUCGAGUUUGAUAGUCUACGGCGAUGAACGCUAUGAUGAUCAGGCCUAAGGGUUCAUUGGGAAACGAAUGAGCCUUCCAUUGUGAAAAGAAGAUGUUGAGGUCGGACA
rnacentral:ncRNA from 2 species